GACCGCGUAGCUCAGUUGGCAGAGCAUUGGGCUAGUAUUCCAAAGGUCGUAGGUUCGGUUCCCACCGUGGCCA